rnacentral:lncRNA from 1 species
GAUAUGUUUACGAAGCCUCUUCCGGUUUACAAGUUCAAGCAGUGCUUGGACUUGGUUGGUAUUCAUUGUUGGUGAUUGCCCGUUGGGGCUUUUGUGAAGAAGGUGGAGCAAGUUUUGUUGGGACAUGCCAAGGUGGAGAUUUGUUAGUUUGGCAAGUCCCAUAGUCCCACAUCGGGAAAAUUAGACUUAUUGUCUCGUC